GGCCCACGAUCGUUCACAUAUUUUAGGCCAUUUCUCCUCUAACAAAGCAAUUAAUACAGUGGCAUAUCUGUUUCAGAAGCCCUGGUGAUCUGUUCUGCCUCUUCCAACCUCUGAGUGUUCAGUUUCCUUCCUGUCUGCUUUGAAUCACCUCUGUUUCCCUUUUUGGUGGUUCUUUUCAUUUAACAUUAUGAGCCUCUUUACUGUUUCUAAUUAUAUCCUAUUUGGAUUGUUUCAGGGUUGUUUUUUUUUCCACACAUACUCUAUUUCCAUUUCAAAUGACUCUCUCUCUCUCUCUCUAUUAUCAAUAACAUAUUUUUAUUAAUGAUCAUUAUGGACCACUUCUAUAGAAAAGAACCAAAUUAUCUUAGGAAAAAAAUCAGACUUCAGAGUGAUUCUGGACUGGUAAUAGCAUGAUUAUGCUAUUGGGACUUGCAU
rnacentral:lncRNA from 1 species